rnacentral:sRNA from 1 species
GCCAGUGCACCACCUGAACCAUCACCCAUGACUACGACAUUUUGAGGUCCUACUUCAGAUACUAAUUGAUCAUAAACACGUUGUAUCGCUUGGAAAGUAUCGUCAAUAUGAAACUCUGGUGUCUUUGGAUAGAUAGGCAGUA